GCUUGUAGAAUUCCUGUUUAAAUUGGUCCACCAGAUAAUCCCAUUGCUUAGGUUCAAAUAAGACCUGUAAAAGGAUUGGGAGAAGACACUGAAUGUGCUACAUAUAA